GUACUUGCUUUGGCAGCACAUAUACUAAAAUUGGAACGAUAUAAGAUUAACAUGGCCUCUAGGCAAGGAUGACAUUCAAAUUUGUGAAGCGUUCCAUAUUUAA
ensembl:snRNA U6 U6 spliceosomal RNA